rnacentral:rRNA from 2 species
GGUUUCUUGGUAGAUUAGGAAAUUUGACCUGCCCACUGAAUAAGAAUUGAAGGGCCGCGGUAUUUUGACUGUGCAAAGGUAGCAUAAUCAUUAGUCUUUUAAUUGAAGACUUGUAUGAAUGGUUGAACGAGGUGAAAACUGUUUUAUAAUAAUUGGGGUAUUGAAGUUGAAAUUUAAGUAAAAAGACUUAAAUAUUUUUAAGGGACGAGAAGACCCUAUAGAGUUUAAUAAAUAAAUAAUAUAGUGAAGUUAAUAAUUUAAUUUAUAUUAUUAUUAUGUUAUCAAAUUUAUUUAAUUGGGGUGAUUAGAAGAUAAGUAAAACUCUUCUUUAUUUUAUAUAUUUAUUGAUAAUAUAAAAAGGAUCCAUAAGGAAAUUAAUUAUGAUUAAAAGAUAAAAUUACCUUAGGGAUAACAGCAUAAUUUUUUUCGAGAGUUCUUAUUGAAAAAAAAGAUUGUGACCUCGAUGUUGGAUUAAGAUGAAAUUUGGGUGUAGAUGUUCAAAAGUUAGGUCUGUUCGACCUUUAAAAUCUUACA